AACCAGAAGGCGCAAUGAAAGUGAAGGCACGGUCGCCGUGCUGAGGUGAGAGCCGUCCUCGAUGGCACAUCAUCGACCGAUCCCAUCCGCUCCCUCGUGGUGCGGCGGGAUUCGAGUAAGAGUGUACCUGUUGCGACCCGAAAGAUGGUGAACUAUGCCUGAAUAGGGUGAAGCCAGAGGAAACUCUGGUGGAGGCCCGUAGCGAUUCUGACGUGCAAAUCGAUCGUCAAAUUUGGGUAUAGGGGCGAAAGACUAAUCGAACCAUCUAGUAGCUGGUUCCCUCCGAAGUUUCCCUUAGGAUAGCUGUAGCCCGAAGCAGUUUUAUCAGGUAAAGCGAAUGAUUAGAGGUAUCGGGGAAGAAACUUCCUCGACCUAUUCUCAAACUUUAAAUAGGUAAGAAGUCCGACUUGCUUGAUUUGAAGCCGGACACAGAAUGCUGGGUUACUAGUGGGCCAUUUUUGGUAAGCAGAACUGGCGAUGCGGGAUGAACCGAACGCCGAGUUAAGGUGCCAAAGUCGACGCUCAUCAGAUCCCACAAA
rnacentral:rRNA from 1 species